rnacentral:rRNA from 1 species
UACAGAGGGUGCGAGCGUUGUUCGGAAUUACUGGGCGUAAAGCGCGCGCAGGCGGCCCUUUAAGUCCGCUGGUGAAAGACCGGGGCUCAACCCCGCGUCAGCCAGGGAGUACUGGAGGCGUGGAGACAGGUAGAGGCAAGCGGAAUUCCGGGUGUAGCGGUGGAAUGCGUAGAUAUCAGGAGGAACACCUACGGCGAAGGCAGCUCGCUGGGACGGUACUGACGCUGAGACGCGAAAGCGUGGGGAGCAAACAGG